rnacentral:lncRNA from 1 species
AGUGGCCGGCAGAGAGGCUAUGGGCAAGAGAGAGAACACAUGGCUCAGAGCACAUGGGCAAAUACAGCGCAUAUGGUGGCUGAAUUACAAAGCCAUUGCUGGAGAAGUGGAAACAGUGUGAGGAAUUUGAAAAGCCUGCUGCACGGUGUUGGCUCUUUUUAUUCCAGGAGGAGCCUUAGGUGCAGCAGCGUGGGUGCUUAACAAACAGUGGGUCUUUCUCAGGACACAUGGUGCUGAUGGAGAAGCAAAAGCUCAGAGAAACCUGACCUCGUCACGGAUUGAAUGAGUGGCAGAGCGGGACUUUUAAAAGUCAAGUCCUUCUGAUGCGUGCAGCAUCUGUUUAUGACAAAUAAAUUUCAAAAGCAGGAAGCA